CGACAUGACCUGUCGGCCUGUGUUGAAUAAAAACAAGAAAAGGGCUGAAAAGGACUCGUCGCCUUGAAGCUCGGCGUCGUCAACAUAUCUGUUCCCCACACUCCUUCCGCCUCGCUAUGAAUCAAUCCGAUCCACGCACCACAGCCUAGGUCCCAAUGGAGUUCCUCCAUCAUGGCGGGGAUGAUAUGGUAGGACGCUUCGCCGAGCUAAUCCAGCGCCAUGACCCGCAGACGGAAGGCAUAACAGAGCUACAGUCUCCCUGUGGUAUUGAUAUACUGGCAACAAUCGCCGCCAAUCCAGAUUUGGAGCCGAUCUCCAGAUCCGAAGUUGUGGAUGCUAGCAAUUCAGAUCCGUUUUGGGGCGACGCGCAAGCAGGCGAUGUACCCAACUGCGGACAUGGCGAGACGAAUCCUUCGUCAGGGCAGUAGCGAAGCGAGCGCGUCGUCCCGCUCCUUCCCUUUCCUCUGUGCGGCUGCCGCCUCGCCAUGACAUCUCGAUGAGGAGCAGCAGCAGCAGCACCGGAUCGGCGCCCAGGAGGAGGCCGAUGAGCGACCUCAUCGGCGCCAGCGACGACCUCGGAUCCCGCUUCUCCGUCGCCACCACCACGGCCUCGUCCGAGCGGUCCGCGGGUGGCCGCGGGGCAGCCGCCUUCCGCUCCUGCUUCGCCCCCGCGGACGUGCGCUCGCCGGAGACCUCCCUCUCCGACGUCGACCUCGACGCCUCCCACCAACGUACGUCGUUCGCGCACGCUUUCCCUGAACCUUUUCUCCGGUGGUCCCUGUGUGUGCUCUCCUGAUCCAAGAUGCCGUUUUUUCUUCUUGUAAUUUUGUCGCUUGAUAGUAUAUUGUUCGUCAACCAUGCUUGGUGAACGCAUACUUCAGCUUUGUACUCAAUUGAAUUGCUUGUGUACUAAUGAUAGGAAAGAGUCCCCCUCGUACAGUCGCAUGUGUACGGCAAUAAGAAUACAAGAUGCAUUCUCGUCUUGAGCUUUAGUUUAAUCAGA